rnacentral:rRNA from 1 species
GACGAACGCUGGCGGCGUGCUUAACACAUGCAAGUCGAGCGGUAAGGCCCUUUCGGGGGUACACGAGCGGCGAACGGGUGAGUAACACGUGGGUGACCUGCCCUCAGCUCUGGGAUAAGCCUGGGAAACCGGGUCUAAUACUGGAUAUGACUCCAUGACGCAUGUUGUGGGGUGGAAAGCCUUGUGCGGCUGAGGAUGGGCCCGCGGCCUAUCAGCUUGUUGGUGGGGUGAGGCCUACCAAGGCGACGACGGGUAGCCGGCCUGAGAGGGCGACCGGCCACACUGGGACUGAGACACGGCCAGACUCCGUACGGGAGGCAGCAGGUGGGGAAUCUUGCGCAAGUGGGCGAAAGCCUGACGCAGCGACGCCGCGUGA